GGUCGCUUAGCUCAGUUGGUUAGAGCACUGCGUUUACAUCGCAGGUGUCGGGGGUUCAAAUCCCUCAGCGACCACAA
rnacentral:tRNA from 1 species